CGGGAGUUCAACAUUGGUAAUGAUAUUUUUGCUAGUGAUUCCAUCGAACUUCUUCGUCAGUGUGGUAUUGAUUUUCAGAAGAAUAAUGAAGAAGGUAUCGAUGUCAAUCGUUUUGGUGAGCUUCUAAUGUCUUCUGGGGUUGUGUUAAACGAUGAUGUGAACUGGGUGACGUUUCAUAGUGGGUAUGAUUUUGGUUACUUGCUGAAAUUGCUGACUUGCCGUGGUUUACCGAAUGAGCAAGCAG
rnacentral:misc_RNA from 1 species